GACAGAGGGUGCAAGCGUUGUUCGGAAUCAUUGGGCGUAAAGCGCACGUAGGUGCCUUGCAAGUCGGAUGUGAAAGCCCAGGGCUCAACCCUGGAAGUGCAUCCGAAACUGCUCGGCUCGAGUCCCGGAGAGGAUGGCGGAAUUCCGAGUGUAGAGGUGAAAUUCGUAGAUAUUCGGAGGAACACCAGUGGCGAAGGCGGCCAUCUGGACGGAGACUGACACUGAGGUGCGAAAGCGUGGGGAGCAAACAGG
rnacentral:rRNA from 1 species